UGUGAACAUACCUCACUGUUGCUUCGGCGGGAUUGCCCCGGGCGCCUCGUGUGCCCCGGAUCAGGCGCCCGCCUAGGAAACUUAAUUCUUGUUUUAUUUUGGAAUCUUCUGAGUAGUUUUUACAAAUAAAUAAAAACUUUCAACAACGGAUCUCUUGGUUCUGGCAUCAAUGAAGAACGCAGCGAAAUGCGAUGAGUAAUGUGAAUUGCAGAAUUCAAUGAAUCGUCUAAUCUUUGAACGCACAUUGCGCCCGCCAGUAUUCUGGCGGGGAUGCCUGUCUGAGCGUCAUUUCAACCCUCAUGCCCCUAGGGCGUGGUGUUGGGGAUCGGCCAAAGCCCGCGAGGGACGGCCGGCCCCUAAAUCUAGUGGCGGACCCGUCGUGUCCUCCUCUGCGAAGUAGUGAUAUUCCGCAUCGGAGAGCGACGAGCCCCUGCCGUUAAACCCCCAACUUUCCAAGGUUGACCUCAGAUCAGGUAGGAAUACCCGCUGA
rnacentral:rRNA from 1 species